AGUCGUAACAAGGUUUCCGUAGGUGAACCUGCGGAAGGAUCAUUAGUGAAUACUGAGCGUCUCCUUAACGAGAGCUCGACCUCCACUUUCUAACACUGUGCACUAUUUAAUAAGCUUGGUUAACUCUCGCGAGAGACGGUACCUUGCUUAUUUCACCCCUUUACAAACAUGAAGUAAUAGAAUGUAACAAAAGCCAUAACAAAAUAAAA
rnacentral:misc_RNA from 1 species